UCUGGACCAUGUCCCCUGUUUUUUUUUUUUGGGGGGGGGAGGAUAAUUGUUUCUUGCCUGUUCCCCAUGGACUGUGUUACUGUUACUUCGUACUUACUGGGAAACAACAUCCUGGAAAUUCGGACUGCACAAGAAAAGAUGGAUCUGAGCCCCAUCAAGGAGUGUGAUUGACUGUCGACCUGUCUGCUUUGUCAGCUGGGAUCCAAUCCAACCCCCUAUGACCUCCAAAAGAGUAAGCUGGGAUGAACGCAUGAUGGAUUGAUGGAACAUU